rnacentral:lncRNA from 7 species
GAGAGCUACAAAAGGAGAUGGGCUGCUGUUUACCACAAGUAAACUUCCUCAAGUACAUGGAGUUGGUCUGGUGAAAGAAGAGGAAGGGGUAACUGUAAGUUUGGACAUGCUGAGACAUGCUGGACAAGAGACAGCAUGUAUGUACCUUCUCAUGUUGCUGCUGGCCUACGGGCUUCUUUGGUGGUCCAAUAAAGGCUAAGGGCAUGCUUUUAAAGGUGCUAGAAAGCACCAUGUGGGAGUUUUCACAGACCUGGACAAACAAGUAUCAGUGUGAUCUGAACACAGGAGUAAUUUUGCUAAGAUUAUCACUGUCAGCUUUCAUGAUGAAAGAACCAAAGAGAACUGAAGUACAACUCCUACGCUGCUGAAGCAGUCAGUCAUGUAGUGUGGAAAAAAAAGAAAAAAGCACCUGCCAGUGGUGGCUACCUCGUUUUUAUAUCCAGCUUCUGCAGUUUUCUCAAGUGUUCAACACUACAAGAAAUUCUCUUAGAGGAACAGAUGUGCUGGAGAGAAGCAAUAAAUACUUUCAAAUUUGAGAGAGGAGCAGUGAGAUAGUUGACGAGAGAUGCAGUAGGACUUCUCCCCUCAUACUCCUCACCCAGAGGUAGUGCACUAUCUGUUUUGUGUUGCUUUUGCCUUUUAUCUGUGCAGCUAUGAUCUUCAGAUCUUCAUCAGAUAUCAUCAAGCUGCUGGAGCUACUCUGCUGAGUGGGAGUAGGUGAUUUGUUAACUGCUUGUCUUGGAGUAAACUACUUGGCCAUGCAAGUUAGUCUGACAAAAGAACAAAAAGAAGAAAGUAAUUGGAGCUGUUCCUAGCAGUAAGUAAUACAAUGAAGAAGAAUUGGCCGUGCUGAACUUUCAGGUGGAAAUGAGUUUGAAGACUCAAAUCUGGGCAGAUUCAUGGCUAUUUUCCAGGAAGAAAAUGAGAAUAGUAAUUAUGAAGAGCAGACAAGAAAUGAUAAAAAAAAAUGAAGAGAUGAACACAACAAACAAGUUGAAGGAAAUAGUAUUACUUAAUUCUGAAAUGGUACAAUAAUCUAACCUCUCAUGAAUUGGAGGUAAGGGGAGGUGGUGAGAGUUCAAAUAGUACAAAAUAAACAGAAGAGUGAGAUGUGAGAUAAGACAAGCAAAAAAAGAAAGACUGUAAUUUUAAGUGACUUCAGAUUCUAACUUAUGGUUUUUGUUGCCAUUGCAACAGUAGGUAAUAAAUGAAAUGCAGAUGGACAGUUAACUAACAACUAUUUCUUGCACAACUACUAGGUCAGUAAUUCAACCUACAUGUGAUUCAAAAUUAAGUCUGAUGCAGAUUCAUGAUCAGAAUAUUUUAAAUCCAACUAACCAGAUCACAGAUCCUAAUGUAAUUACUGUUAAUAUCCCUUGAUACUAAAGGAUGUGUACAAGACCAACAUGCAUGGCUCGAUAUAGACCUAAACUCUCCAGGGGAGAAGAAUGUGAGAUAAAGUGAGUAAUUUAGCAAUUUAUUAUUUAUUUUGAAUGUGCAGAGUCAUGUUUUUUUUCUGGGAUUUUUUCUACUGCGGUCAGUUUAAUGACGUUGUGAACAAAUGUGACACCCCUGCAAGCCUUCUGUAAGUGAACGGUUUCUAAUAAAGUUGUAACAGAUCAAUCAUCAAAAGGUCUUGGCAGAAAAAUCGGUAGGUAAUAAAAAAGAUAAAGGAUACUGAAAUGAUGGGAGUGACAUGUGGCAGGAUAUUAGGUUUAUGAAGACAACUUUGUCUAAUAAGAAAAGUUAGGUAGUAAUACCAGAUGGGAACAAGUGGAGGCUUCCUACCACUGCCAGAAAUGCCUGAUGCCAUUUCUGAGUACAAAAUGUAAUGGUGGGAAUGGCAAGUGCUUUCAGAAAGAGACUCUCUAUAAGUGUUAGAUGUGCUUAAACCAAAUUAAAUGAACAUGUCGAUU